GACGUAGGGCGCGAGCGUUUGUCCGGAUUUAUUGGGCGUAAAGAGCUCGUAGGCGGCUUGUCGCGUCGACCGUGAAAACUUGGGGCUCAACCCCAAGCCUGCGGUCGAUACGGGCAGGCUAGAGUUCGGUAGGGGAGACGUGAAUUCCUGGUGUAGCGGUGAAAUGCGCAGAUAUCAGGAGGAACACCGAUGGCGAAGGCAGGUCUCUGGGCCGAUACUGACGCUGAGGAGCGAAAGCGUGGGGAGCGAACAGG
rnacentral:rRNA from 1 species